GACGAACGCUGGCGGCGUGCUUAACACAUGCAAGUCGAACGAAGUGGCGAACGGGUGAGUAACGCGUAAUCAACCUGCCCUUCAGAGGGGGACAACAGUUGGAAACGACUGCUAAUACCGCAUACUGAAGGAGGGGAUUGCGUCUGAUUAGCUAGUUGGAGGGGUAACGGCCCACCAAGGCGAUGAUCAGUAGCCGGUCUUGGGGGAUGAAAGGCCCAAAUGGGAAUGAGAACCGGCCCAGACUCCUACGGGAGGCAGCAGGGGGGAAACUUCCGCAAUGGACGAAAGUCUUACGAAGCAACGCCGGGUGGGUGAUGACGGCCUUCGGGUUGUAAAGCUCUGUUAAUCGGGACGCGGUACCGGAAUAGAAAGCCACGGCUAACUACGUGCCAGCAGCCGCGGUAAUAC
rnacentral:rRNA from 1 species